rnacentral:rRNA from 1 species
AAAUGAAUAGACGGGGACCCGCACAAGCAGUGGAGUAUGUGGAUUAAUUCGACGCAACGCGAAGAACCUUACCAAGGCUUGACAUCCUACUAACGAAGUAGAGAUACAUUAGGUGCCCUUUUAGGGAGAGUAGAGACAGGUGGUGCAUGGUUGUCGUCAGCUCGUGUCGUGAGAUGUUGGGUUAAGUCCCGCAACGAGCGCAACCCUUGUGGUUAGUUGCUACGGAAGAGCACUCUAACCAGACUGCCGUUGACAAAACGGAGGAAGGUGGGGACGACGUCAAAUCAUCAUGCUCCUUAUGUCUUGGGCUUCACACGUACUACAAUGGCGAGAAACAAAGGGCAGCGAACCCGCGAGGGUGAGCGAAUCCCGAAAAGUCGCCUCAGUUCAGAUUGCAGGCUGCAACCCGCCUGCAUGAAGACGGAAUUGCUAGUAAUCGUAGAUCAGCAUGCUACGGUGAAUACGUUCCCGGGUCUUGUACACACCGCCCGU